rnacentral:rRNA from 1 species
CCUACGGGAGGCAGCAGUAGGGAAUAUUGCUCAAUGGGGGAAACCCUGAAGCAGCAACGCCGCGUGGAGGAUGAAGGUUUUCGGAUUGUAAACUCCUUUUGUUAGAGAAGAUAAUGACGGUAUCUAACGAAUAAGCACCGGCUAACUCCGUGCCAGCAGCCGCGGUAAUACGGAGGGUGCAAGCGUUACUCGGAAUCACCGGGCGUAAAGAGCGCGUAGGCGGGAUAGCAAGUCAGAUGUGAAAUCCUAUGGCUUAACCAUAGAACUGCAUUUGAAACUGUUAUUCUAGAGUAUGGGAGAGGUAGGUGGAAGUCUUGGUGUAGGGGUAAAAUCCGUAGAGAUCAAGAGGAAUACUCAUUGCGAAGGCGACCUGCUAGAACAUAACUGACGCUGAUGCGCGAAAGCGUGGGUAGCAAACAGGAUUAGAUACCCGAGUAGUC